CGCGUAGGCGGCGUGACAAGUCACUUGUGAAAUCUCCGGGCUUAACUCGGAACGGCCAAGUGAUACUGUCGUGCUAGAGUGCAGAAGGGGCAAUCGGAAUUCUUGGUGUAGCGGUGAAAUGCGUAGAUAUCAAGAGGAACACCUGAGGUGAAGACGGGUUGCUGGGCUGACACUGACGCUGAGGCGCGAAAGCUAGGGUAGCAAACGGGAUUAGAUACCCCGGUAGUCCUAGCCCUAAACGAUGAAUACUUGGUGUCUGGAGUUUUUAUCCUCCGGGUGCCGUCGCUAACGUUUUAAGUAUUCCGCCUGGGGAGUACGCUCGCAAGAGUGAA
rnacentral:rRNA from 1 species